rnacentral:miRNA from 1 species
UCCUAAGAAUGAACUGGGCAUGGUGUUGAUCUGCUUUGAUACCAGCACUUGGGAGACAGAGGCAGGAGGAU